ensembl:lncRNA
AUGACACGUCUCAAUCUCAAAGGAAGGAGAACACAAAUUCUUCUACGAACAAUGAAUCAGGAAAAUUCUGUUCCCACGCAUGUUGUCUCAGGAAUUGAAGUUUCAGCAUUGGACAGCGACAACUUCUCACCUCUUCCUGACACUUUCACUCAGAAGAAAAUGCCAGUAACCACUAACAACAUCCCAAGACAGAGUGACUUAGCGCAAUGGGCGUAUUUAAGUGAAGUCAAAAUCCCCUCUAUUAGUGCAAAGGUAGAGCUGUUAAUUGGAACAAAUGCUCCAACCCUGAUAGAGCCGUGGGAGGUUGUUAACAGCCAAAGUGGGGGCCCUUAUGCAGCUAGAACACUAUUGGGGUGGGUUGUAAAUGGGCCACUUAGAAGUGAAACUGGCAGUGCAAAAAGUGUUACGGUGAAUAGGAUUUCAGUGGCAAGGCUAGAGGAGCUUCUGAUCUCACAGUACAAUCAGGAUUUUUCUGAAGUUGCCUCUGAGGAGACAACUGAAGUUUCUAUUGAGGACAAAGGAUUUCUGAAAAUGGCCAAUGAGGCAGUUCUGAAUGAUGGACAUUACAAUCUGAAAUUGCCCUUCAGAAAGGCUGAUGUCUGUAUGCCAAACAAUCGCCAAAUUGCAGAACAGCGCCUCCAGAGCCUAAGAAGGAAAAUGGAAAAGGAUGAGCAAUAUAAACAGGAAUAUGUUGCAUUUUUCAAUGACAUCUUUGAGAGUAAUUAUGCAGAGGAGGUCCCACAGGAAGAACUUGCACAGUCAACAGGAAAGGUAUGGUACUUGCCACACCACGGGGUGUACCACCCUAAAAAGAAAAAGCUCAGAGUAGUCUUUGAUUGUGCUGCCUCUUACCAGGGUGUAUCCCUUAACACCGAACUGCUGCAGGGACCUGACCUGACAAAUUCCCUCAUUGGAGUCAUCAUGAGAUUUCGCAAAGAGCCUGUUGCAAUCAUGUCGGACAUCAAGUCAAUGUUCCAUCAGGUUAGAGUAGCCAGAUCUGAUGUUAAUUACUUGCGAUUCCUGUGGUGGCCAAAAGGUGAGACCAGUCAAGCACCCAAGGAACACCGUAUGCUUGUACACAUAUUCGGUGCAGUGUCCUCCCCUAGCAUUGCAAGCUUUGCAUUAAGAAAAACUGCUGCGGACAAUGAGUGUUGUUUUCCCCCUCAAGUAGCCGAAACAGUCCGGCACAACUUUUAUGUGGACGACUGUGCAAAGUCUGUGGCCAAGGAAUCAGACGCCAUCCAGCUGGUGAAAGAUGUCACUGCACUAUGCAGCAAAGGUGGGUUCCAACUCACUCAGUGGGUCAGCAAUAACAGGGCAGUUUUAGCAUCAAUCCCUAAAGAACACAGAGCAAAGGAAAUCAAAACACUGGAUCUCGACAAAGACAGUUUGCCCAUUGAAAGAGCACUGGGACUGCAGUGGUGCGUGGAUUCUGACCAUUUCCAAUUCAACAUCAACCUGAGCCAAAAGCCACACACCCGCAGAGGCAUACUCUCUGUUGUUAGUUCCAUCUUUGAUCCACUAGGCUUUCUUGCUCCUCUCAUUCUCCCAGCUAAGCAGUUGCUACAAGAGCUCUGCCAGCGAGGCUUCGGAUGGGAUGAGCCUCUGCCCCAGACAGUGUCUGAAAAGUGGAUGGAAUGGACCAACAGCCUGGAUAGGAUCAAAGGCUUCAGUGUGCCACGCUGUUUGAAACCAAAGGGCUAUGGAAUGACAAGCCAUGCCGAGCUUCACCACUUCGCCGACGCCAGUGAGAGUGGCUAUGGCUCAGUCAGCUACAUCAGACAGUUGAACCAGCAGGAUGUCAUUCACGUCACUUUGGUCCUUGGAAAGUCCAGAGUUCUUCCCCUUAAGAACAUCACCGUGCCACGACUGGAGCUGGCAGCUGCAGCUUUGCUGGUGAAGGUAGAUAGAAUGCUGAGAGGAGAGUUACACCUUGACCUAAAGCCUUCAUGUUUCUGGACUGAUAGCCAAACAGUGCUCAAGUACAUUGCAAAUGACCGAGCAAGGUAUAAGACCUAUGUAGCCAAUAGGGUCUCACUGAUUCGGGACAAUACAGACCUGUCCCAAUGGAGAUACGUAAGCAGCAAGGACAAUCCUGCUGAUGAUUCAUCCAGAGGAUUGAAUGCAGGAAGAUUCAUGGAGCAAAGGAGAUGGAUACAUGCCCCUGAAUUCUUAUGGAACACAAAGGAAAGUUGGCCAGAGGAGGAAGUAUUGGACUCGGUGUCACAGGACGAUCCAGAGGUCAGGAAAAGUGCUACUGUAUUGGCAGCAGUAGUGAACCCUGCGACACCCACAGACCAGCUUAUUUCGUUCUUUUCUGACUGGAGGAGACUACUCAAAGCAGUGGCAUGGUUUAUCAGACUGAAAAAGAUGUUGAUGCUGAUUGUGAAAAGAGGAAAGGAGCAGCCCUCGUCUCAAGUCAGCACCCGCUCAAGCAGGAAAAAGGUGAGGAUACAAAUUGAAGCCAUCAGGACCUUCCUUGGUGGGCAGCUCCUCACUGUUGAAGAUCUUGCAGAGGCAGAAAGGUCAGUCGUCACAUACACCCAAGGACAAGCCUUCGGUGCUGAAAUUGCAACACUGGAGAUGAUCCCACCUAGAGUGCACAAGGGCAGUAAGAUCUGCAGGCUUGAUCCUGUCCUAGACGAGGGCAUUCUGAGAGUAGGUGGCCGACUGCACAAAUCUGCAAUGCCUGAGGAAACCAAACACCCCUGCAUCUUGCCCAAAGACUCGCACAUCUCGAUACUGCUCUUAAGACACAUCCAUGAACGAUGUGGCCACAAUGGCAGAAACCACAUGCUAUCGGAGCUCCGGAAAAAGUACUGGAUUUUAAAAGGCAACUCAGUUGCCAGGAAGGUGCUCUCAAAAUGUGUCAUGUGUCGACGUUCAAGGGGCAAGGCAAGUGAACAGAAGAUGGCGGAUUUGCCGUUAGAAAGAAUCCUACCUGACCUCCCUCCAUUUACCAAUGUCGGGUUGGACUACUUUGGCCCGUUUGAAGUGAAACGAGGGAGAACUGCCAUCAAAAGGUAUGGAGUUCUUUUUACAUGCAUGUCUAGUAGAGCUAUUCAUUUGGAAAUUGCCUUUACACUUGACACAGACUCAUGCAUUCAUGCUUUGAGGAGAUUUGUCUGCAGGAGGGGCCAGGUGAAGCACAUCAGGUCUGAUAAUGGAACAAACCUGGUGGGUGCACACGGAGAGCUCAAGAAGGCCCUGAAGUCACUGAACGAGAGGAAAAUCCAAGAUGCCCUGCUUCCAGAUGGAAUCGAAUGGAGUUUCAAUCCACCAUCAGCAUCACACCAUGGCGGAGCCUGGGAAAGGCUCAUAAGAUCUGUCCGCCAGGUGCUGAACUCUACUCUCCAUCAACAGUCCAUCGAUGAUGAAGGCCUCCAAACACUGUUUUGCGAGGUGGAGGCAAUCCUGAACAACCGUCCUCUCUGCACAGUGUCCUCAGACCCACAUGACCUAGAGCCACUGACCCCAAAUCACAUCCUGCUAUUGAAAGCCAAGCCAAUCCUACCCCCUGGAACCUUCUUGAAGUCCGACAUCUAUGCCAGACGUCGCUGGAAACAGGUCCAGUACAUGGCCGGUCUUUUCUGGCAAAGGUGGACCAAAGAAUAUCUUCUGCUGCUGCAGGAGAGGCAGAAAUGGACUUCACUAAAGAGGAACCUUAGUGUCGGAGACAUUGUCCUGGUCGUUGACCCCACUGCUCCUCGAGGGUCCUGGCCAUUAGGAAGAGUGCUGGAGACGAAACCUGAUGCAAGGGGUCUAGUGCGGUCAGUGAAGCUCAAGACAAAAACUUCAGUCCUUGAGAGGCCCAUAACCAAGCUGUGCCAAAUCCUUGAGUCUGAAGAGUGA